UCUGUUUAUAUCAGUAACUGUUAUUUUCUCUGGUUUAGUUUGUAAAGGCUCACAGUCCAUCCUAAGACAUUGAUUAGGAUUUCCAACCCCUGACAUGCUCUUACCCCAAAGCACCUGCUCACUGGGUCUUGUCACAUUUUCCCAUGCCUGGGCCAUGGGAGCUGAGAGAGGCACCCAGUUUUCACUUCUUAGCCUACUCAUGUAUUCAUUCCAUACCUAUUUAUUUGGUCCUGCUGGUGUCCCAAGCAUUAUUAUUAUUAUUAUGUGGACCGAAGGUAGGCGUAUGCUAGUAAGUUCUUCCUCAUGUCCAGUGGAGGGAAUCAGAAGACAGGUAGUUGAUGAGUGGAGAGCUAGGCAAAUAUUGAGUAACAGAAGUGCAGUGUGGUAUAUUAAAAGGGGAAUCUGAGUGAGAAGUGAGGCUUUGGGUAGAAGGGCUUUUUAGACUGUGAGAUUAAGGAAAGGUAGUGGGGUACUAGGCAAGAGUACUGGGGUGGGUAGCCUUUCCCUUCUCCAGGGGAUCUUCCUAACUCAGGAGUUGAACCCAGGGAUCCAACCCAGGCAUCCUGCAUUGCAGGCAGAUUCUUUACCAUCUGAGCCACAGGGAAGCUGUGCAGCAGGAAUAAACUUGGGGUCUUUGCAGGCAAGAAAGAAGACACCUGAGUGGCUGGAGUCUGAUGGGAGAGGAGGAGAUGGUUCAAGAGGAAGAUUUUGAGAAGUGCCUUAUGAAGCAGGAUAAGACGAUUGUGUUUUUAUUCUAAGGCCUGGCAUCUCUGGGGAGAAUGGAGGCAGAGGGUAGAAAGAGAGGCCAGCUAAGGGGCCAUGGUGGGGGUCCAGGUGAGGGUGGAGGCUGGAACUGGAGAGGUGGUAGUGAAGACGGACAGACUCAGCAAAUUUGGGAAACCUUCUAGCAGAGACAGAGAAAGCACUGACGCUCGGAUGGAAUGUGGGGAACUGGCUGACUCAAGGAUGAGUCGCAGCUUACUUGCUUCCUUUCCCUUCAAUAUCCUUGUUGGGUGGGCUUGAGAACCUCAGAAACAUCUUUUGUGAGACUAAAGAGGCAUCUGCUGUUCUUGGAAAUAACCCCAAGAAGGCUUUCAAAAUGAGGGCACUAGGAAACAGUAUUUUAUAUUUUCCUCCAGAUGAGGGAGGUUGUGAUUUAUUUUUAUUUGUUGAGGGAAAUUUUAGGAAAGUUUUUGUUAACAAAAAUUAUUGCAAUGAAUAAGAGCUUCAUUAUAGAAAGAUAUUGUAUGAAAAGCUUCUAGCAUUUCAUCUUAGAACAGACUACAUUGACUCUUUGUCCCCAGCUCUUUUUGAUUAUGG
ensembl:lncRNA